GUUUGUCACUACGGCGCUUCAAACGUAAUUCCGCGUCGCUCUAAGGUUACAGAUCAAAGCCCACCUAACGAGAGGGGGACUGGAAGCUCGCCAUUGUUAAAGGGCUAAAACGCAGCUGGAAGCAGAAUUUGGACUGCUUAAAUUUCUCCCCGGGAGGCGACACUACAGGAGGGAGCGAUUGCACAAGCCUCCAGGAUGAAUCCUUUCAAAGCAAGAUUUCUACACCUGUGGGUACCAGACUGGAGGAGGAUCUCUCCGAGUUGAAGGCCAGCCUAGUCUACACAGUGAGCCUGCCCUCCUGAGUGCCACAGGUACCCAUGUGACACACUCUUACACAGACAUAAACAUAUGUACAUAAUUAAAAAUAAAAUAAGCCUUAAAGAUAUAGUCAGC